rnacentral:rRNA from 1 species
GCAAGUCGAACGAACCUUCGGGUUAGUGGCGGACGGGUGAGUAACGCGUGGGAAUCUGCCCUCAGGAGGGGGAUAACGGCCGGAAACGGCCGCUAAUACCCCAUAUGCCGAGAGGUGAAACGAAAUUCGCCUGAGGAUGAGCCCGCGUCUGAUUAGCUAGUUGGUGUGGUAAUGGCUCACCAAGGCUUCGAUCAGUAGCUGGUCUGAGAGGAUGAUCAGCCACACUGGGACUGAGACACGGCCCAGACUCC